rnacentral:lncRNA from 1 species
GAUAAUAAAAAGCACAGGCAAAUCACACAGUUUAUCCACUAACCCACUAACAGUAAAUGUUUUAUCACUAAAGAAUUCCAAUCAAAUCAUGCAAAUGUAAGUGUCGCUAAUAUAAUGAUUAGUUCAUGGAAGUGUAUAAUCGCUACUACAAAAGAGAGAUAACCUUAUCACGUGAAUUUCGAUGUUUCUUGUCAUUCCUCUCAUGAUUAUCAUUCUUGAGUUCAGAUUCAUCGUCAGGCAAUAAAGAAUCCACGAGGUCUUCGCCAAAAUCAUCCACAGCAUCGCCACCUUGACUAUAACCAGGGCCAUUCUCCCUCCUCUUAUCGCGCCCCAAAUGCCUUUCUCGUGGCAUUUGGGUAGUAGGGGAAGAUAAGCCCCUAGGACCAAAAUCCAUAGGAGCCCUCCUUGAUGAAGAAUUCAUGCUUGGACCUCUGGCGAGCCUACUAGCUUGUGCUUGCCGUUCUUGAGCAGCAUCUCUGUGCACUUCCUCGAUCUUUUUCGGCCCUUCAACUUUCCUCGUCUGCUGCCAUUUAUUCUUUCUCAACUCAAUUGAAUCCUUCAACAUAAGCCUAACCCUAGAAGAUAGUUUCAUGUUGUUUGACAACUUUUCCAUUCUGUCAAAAUAAGCAUCCAUAUGCUCUUUGGCCUUGGGGUGAUCGAUCAUCUCUCCUAUUGUGCUCAUUAAUAUACACAACGCCUCAACAUCCUCCUCGUCAGGAUUCUCAUACUGGCCCAGCAACUUCUUGAUGCAUUCAUGCAUUAUUCUCUCAGUCAACAUUUUCUUCUUGUACAACUCACCAAUUAGUCUAAUGUUGCCUAGCAUUCGUCUUCGAGCCUUGAUUCUCUUCUCUUCUCUUUCUUCCUCGGUCUGCUUAAUCUCCCCCUCUUUAUCAGCUUUGUUAGCUUCUUCUUGCUCUCUCUCUCCUCUCUCAAAUUCCUCUUGGCAUUUGUUCAGAAGCAGUCUCUUGAAAGUAAUUUUUUCAUUGUCUUCACUGAAAUCAGGUAACUUUCCAGCAAGAAAAUAAAAGAAGUUUGCAUACAUCUCACAGAAAGUAGGCUCCAUUAAAGCUUUGUCAAAAAUUUGAGAGACCACACGAGUGAGUGUAACAGCAUUGUCGAUGUUUACUGCUUUUACUUGCUCAAAGAGUUUCUUGAAGUUUGGAGCAUUUAGUCUUCCUAUGUCACCACGACAUUCAAUAUGCAAUUUUAAGUUUCUCAUCCUCUUGCUAAGCCGUCUUUUCCCUCUGUUAUCUGAUCUGAUUUCCUGAUAAUAAAAAGCACAGGCAAAUCACACAGUUUAUCCACUAACCCACUAACAGUAAAUGUUUUAUCACUAAAGAAUUCCAAUCAAAUCAUGUAAAUGUAAGUGUCGCUAAUAUAAUGAUUAGUUCAUGGAAGUGUAUAAUCGCUACUACAAAAGAGAGAUAACCUUAUCACGUGAAUUUCGAUGUUUCUUGUCAUUCCUCUCAUGAUUAUCAUUCUUGAGUUCAGAUUCAUCGUCAGGCAAUAAAGAAUCCACGAGGUCUUCGCCAAAAUCAUCCACAUCAUCGCCACCUUGAUUAUAACCAGGGCCAUUCUCCCUCCUCUUAUCGCGCCCCAAAUGCCUUUCUCGUGGCAUUUGGGUAGUAGGGGAAGAUAAGCCCCUAGGACCAAAAUCCAUAGGAGCCCUCCUUGAUGAAGAAUUCAUGCUUGGACCUCUGGCGAGCCUACUAGCUUGUGCUUGCCGUUCUUGAGCAGCAUCUCUGUGCACUUCCUCGAUCUUUUUCGGCCCUUCAACUUUCCUCGUCUGCUGCCAUUUAUUCUUUCUCAACUCAAUUGAAUCCUUCAACAUAAGCCUAACCCUAGAAGAUAGUUUCAUGUUGUUUGACAACUUUUCCAUUCUGUCAAAAUAAGCAUCCAUAUGCUCUUUGGCCUUGGGGUGAUCGAUCAUCUCUCCUAUUGUGCUCAUUAAUAUACACAACGCCUCAACAUCCUCCUCGUCAGGAUUCUCAUACUGGCCCAGCAACUUCUUGAUGCAUUCAUGCAUUAUUCUCUCAGUCAACAUUUUCUUCUUGUACAACUCACCAAUUAGUCUAAUGUUGCCUAGCCAUCGUCUUCGAGCCUUGAUUCUCUUCUCUUCUCUUUCUUCCUCGGUCUGCUUAAUCUCCCCCUCUUUAUCAGCUUUGUUAGCUUCUUCUUGCUCUCUCUCUCCUCUCUCAAAUUCCUCUUGGCAUUUGUUCAGAAGCAGUCUCUUGAAAGUAAUUUUUUCAUUGUCUUCACUGAAAUCAGGUAACUUUCCAGCAAGAAAAUAAAAGAAGUUUGCAUACAUCUCACAGAAAGUAGGCUCCAUUAAAGCUUUGUCAAAAAUUUGAGAGAUCACACCAGCGAGUGUAACAGCAUUGUCGAUGUUUACUGCUUUUACUUGCUCAAAGAAUUUCUUGAAGUUUGGAGCAUUUAGUCUUCCUAUGUCACCACGACAUUCAAUAUGCCAUUUUAAGUUUCUCAUCCUCUUGCUAAGCCGUCUUUUCCCUCUGUUAUCUGAUCUGAUUUCCUGAUAAUAAAAAGCACAGGCAAAUCACACAGUUUAUCCACUAACCCACUAACAGUAAAUGUUUUAUCACUAAAGAAUUCCAAUCAAAUCAUGCAAAUGUAAGUGUCGCUAAUAUAAUGAUUAGUUCAUGGAAGUGUAUAAUCACUACUACAGAAGAGAGAUAACCUUAUCACGUGAAUUUCGAUGUUUCUUGUCAUUCCUCUCAUGAUUAUCAUUCUUGAGUUCAGAUUCAUCGUCAGGCAAUAAAGAAUCCACGAGGUCUUCGCCAAAAUCAUCCACAUCAUCGCCACCUUGAUUAUAACCAGGGCCAUUCUCCCUCCUCUUAUCGCGCCCCAAAUGCCUUUCUCGUGGCAUUUGGGUAGUAGGGGAAGAUAAGCCCCUAGGACCAAAAUCCAUAGGAGCCCUCCUUGAUGAAGAAUUCAUGCUUGGACCUCUGGCGAGCCUACUAGCUUGUGCUUGCCGUUCUUGAGCAGCAUCUCUGUGCACUUCCUCGAUCUUUUUCGGCCCUUCAACUUUCCUCGUCUGCUGCCAUUUAUUCUUUCUCAACUCAAUUGAAUCCUUCAACAUAAGCCUAACCCUAGAAGAUAGUUUCAUGUUGUUUGACAACUUUUCCAUUCUGUCAAAAUAAGCAUCCAUAUGCUCUUUGGCCUUGGGGUGAUCGAUCAUCUCUCCUAUUGUGCUCAUUAAUAUACACAACGCCUCAACAUCCUCCUCGUCAGGAUUCUCAUACUGGCCCAGCAACUUCUUGAUGCAUUCAUGCAUUAUUCUCUCAGUCAACAUUUUCUUCUUGUACAACUCACCAAUUAGUCUAAUGUUGCCUAGCCAUCGUCUUCGAGCCUUGAUUCUCUUCUCUUCUCUUUCUUCCUCGGUCUGCUUAAUCUCCCCCUCUUUAUCAGCUUUGUUAGCUUCUUCUUGCUCUCUCUCUCCUCUCUCAAAUUCCUCUUGGCAUUUGUUCAGAAGCAGUCUCUUGAAAGUAAUUUUUUCAUUGUCUUCACUGAAAUCAGGUAACUUUCCAGCAAGAAAAUAAAAGAAGUUUGCAUACAUCUCACAGAAAGUAGGCUCCAUUAAAGCUUUGUCAAAAAUUUGAGAGAUCACACCAGCGAGUGUAACAGCAUUGUCGAUGUUUACUGCUUUUACUUGCUCAAAGAAUUUCUUGAAGUUUGGAGCAUUUAGUCUUCCUAUGUCACCACGACAUUCAAUAUGCCAUUUUAAGUUUCUCAUCCUCUUGCUAAGCCGUCUUUUCCCUCUGUUAUCUGAUCUGAUUUCCUGAUAAUAAAAAGCACAGGCAAAUCACACAGUUUAUCCACUAACCCACUAACAGUAAAUGUUUUAUCACUAAAGAAUUCCAAUCAAAUCAUGCAAAUGUAAGUGUCGCUAAUAUAAUGAUUAGUUCAUGGAAGUGUAUAAUCACUACUACAGAAGAGAGAUAACCUUAUCACGUGAAUUUCGAUGUUUCUUGUCAUUCCUCUCAUGAUUAUCAUUCUUGAGUUCAGAUUCAUCGUCAGGCAAUAAAGAAUCCACGAGGUCUUCGCCAAAAUCAUCCACAUCAUCGCCACCUUGACUAUAACCAGGGCCAUUCUCCCUCCUCUUAUCGCGCCCCAAAUGCCUUUCUCGACCUUCUCUACGCAAAUCCAACAAAGACUCUUCAAUGUCUAAGGCUGAUACUGAAUG